rnacentral:lncRNA from 1 species
AUCUGCAUCGCAAUCCCACAUUAAUAAACUCAACACAUUGUAUAACUCGUUCUGCCGAUUUGUGCUACAAUGUAAUUACAGGACCCAUCAUUGUGACAUGCUAAAGGAACUAAACUGGCUGUCACUGGAAUCCAGAUGCACACUUCAUCUUUCCAGCCUUGUGUUUAAGAGCUUUUCUGGGAAACUCCCACCCUACCUGAACAAAAUGCUUUUCCCAGCUGUUCCCACUUUCUAUAACCUCCGAUCCAGUACAAGCACUUUACUUAGUCUACCUCAAUACAAAAAGAAAGCGGCCCGAUCCUCCUUCUCCUACAGAGCACCGCAAUUGUGGAACGACCUUCCGCACAAUUUAAAAUCUUUCCUAAGCCUAAAGUCAUUUAAGUGAUCCCUCUCUACAUAACUCAAAACAGAAUGCACGUG